AUUGACAUUCAACAGCUGAUUUAAGGUUUUUGAUGACCGAAUUUUGCGCGAUGUGUCAGAAUCUGGUUUUCUUUGGUUCAUGAGAAACCGUAAAGCCGUCUUUUCUUUUUAUAUUUUAUUGUUUUGAUAUAUUAAAAAUCAAUAAAAAUAAAAACCAAGUGAAAAUAUUUUCAUCGUCGUCAAUUCGUCAAGAAAAUUUCAUGGAAGUCCAUAAAAAAAUUGUAAAUUUUCUCAAUUUCAGGUUAUAAUGCUUUAAGCGACUAAUGAUUUAUGCGGCGGUUUCUCCGAAAUGGGUCGGUGAAUUUCACCCAGCGUCGAAAAAGCAAUAUCCUAUGCUUAUAAAUGGUGAUCCCAGGGGGUUCUACUAUUCGCUGCGGAGGACCUUCAAAAAAUCAUGUCUUGUGAAAACGGCACUAUAGCCGCCCUUUUGUAAAAUAUAGAGAAUAAUAAAUUUCUUCGCGGUGACCAUGACAUUGAAAAACAAUUUUUGUCAGCGAAAAUUGUUUUUCCGUCAUAAGAGAAUUCAGCACAGAACCGAGCAAGGAGAGGAAGACACUCUUCUCUGAUAAUUCUCAAUUAAACAUUAUAAAUAAUUUAUUCAAAGAGAAAAUUAGAAACUGAAUUGUAAUUCUUUCUGCAAUCAGCCGUGAAGUAAAUUAGAUUAAUCAGAUAAUUUAAAUGUAAUACAUUAAAUAAUUAA